ACCGGUGUAGCUCAACUGGUAGAGCAGCGGUCUCCAAAACCGAUGGUUGCAGGUUCGAAUCCUGUCACCGGUG
rnacentral:tRNA from 1 species